AAUUGGAGGGCAAGUCUGGUGCCAGCAGCCGCGGUAAUUCCAGCUCCAAUAGCGUAUAUUAAAGUUGUUGCAGUUAAAAAGCUCGUAGUUGAAUUUCGGGAUCAAUAUUUCGGUCAUGCCGUUGGUAUGCACUGUUAUCAUUGAUUUCUCACCUUCUAAAGAACCGUAAUGCCAUUAAUUUGGUGUUACGGGGAAUUAGGACUGUUACCUUGAAAAAAUUAGAGUGUUUAAAGCAGGCUCACGCUUGAAUACAUUAGCAUGGAAUAAUGAAAUAGGACAUCCGAUUCUAUUUUGUUGGUUUCUAGGAUCGAUGUAAUGAUUAAUAGGGAUAGUUGGGGGCAUUAGUAUUCAAUUGUCAGAGGUGAAAUUCUUGGAUUUAUUGAAGACUAACUACUGCGAAAGCAUUUGCCAAGGAUGUUUUCAUUAAUCAAGAACGAAAGUUAGGGGAUCGAAGACGAUCAGAUACCGUCGUAGUCUUAACCAUAGACUAUGCCGACUAGGGAUCGGAUGAUGUUAAUUUUUUAAUGACUCAUUCGGCGCCUUACGGGAAACCAAAGUGU
rnacentral:rRNA from 1 species